AUGCCUCAUCCCCACAUCCAGUGGCUUAGUUCUGGCCUGUCUUGGUUUCCCUUCCCCUGCCAAUCGAAGUCUUUAAUGACCUGUGCUGUUUUGUCAUGGGUCCUUCUGGGAACCUCUGCUGGAUACGUGUCUGCUAAAAUGUAUAAGAGCAAGCAUUACAACUCUUUAUUUUGCUGGUUAGGUAUCCAGUUCGCACAAACCAGAUUCCACGUCAGAUUCCUCAACAGAUUUUCUCUAGAAAAUGACUUUUGGCAUCAUAAUCAGUGGCAUUUUCCCUUUUGGCUGUAUUUUUAUUCAACUCUUUUUCCUUCUGAACAGUGUUUGGAACAGUCGGAUUUUUUUCCUGCUUCUGUUUUAUUAUCAAAAUCUACAGUGUGGUGAAAGUGGAUUAAAGAAUGUCCCCAGAGGCUUCCAGGCACAUCACCCUUGCUUUUGAAUAUACAUCUGUAUCUAUA
rnacentral:lncRNA from 1 species